ACUAGGAAUGACUUGUUGGAGAACUAUGAAACUGUUAUUCAGUUACCGCUGCAUGCUAGAUAUCCGCCCCUUGACUCCAGUGGUUAUGCAAGGAUCGAGAUAGGCCGACCAGACUUGUUCAUACGCUGUAGACCAAAACAAUUACAACCAGAGUUCUGUUCAUGGACACUUAAAAAUCUGGGUGCUGGAUAUGCGAAAAUUGUCAUGUGGCAAGUACCCUGUGGAAAUGAGGCACAUACAGGAAUUGUAUCCAGCAUUACUUUUGCUACAGCACUAACGUGUGCUUUAAUAAUUAUUUUAUCAGCUAUUUAUUUUUCUGGGAGCAAUAGUAUCAAAUGCUCAUAAUGAUCAUUAGCAGCAUUGCUUUUUUAUGUUA